rnacentral:rRNA from 1 species
UACAGAGGUCCCAAGCGUUGUUCGGAUUUAUUGGGCGUAAAGGGUGCGUAGGCGGCGGGGCAAGUCAGGUGUGAAAUCUCGGGGCUCAGCCCCGAAACUGCACUUGAUACUGCCUUGCUCGAGUACUGGAGAGGAGACUGGAAUUUACGGUGUAGCAGUGAAAUGCGUAGAUAUCGUAAGGAAGACCAGUGGCGAAGGCGAGUCUCUGGACAGUUACUGACGCUGAGGCACGAAGGCCAGGGGAGCAAACGGG